rnacentral:rRNA from 1 species
CUUGCAAACUGGAGAUGGCGACCGGCGCACGGGUGAGUAACACGUAUCCAACCUGCCGAUAACUCGGGGAUAGCCUUUCGAAAGAAAGAUUAAUACCCGAUGGCAUAAUAGAACCGCAUGGUUUGAUUAUUAAAGAAUUUCGGUUAUCGAUGGGGAUGCGUUCCAUUAGGCAGUUGGUGGGGUAACGGCCCACCAAACCUUCGAUGGAUAGGGGUUCUGAGAGGAAGGUCCCCCACAUUGGAACUGAGACACGGUCCAAACUCCUACGGGAGGCAGCAUG